UGGUCUUGAACUCCUGACUUCAGGUGAUUUGCCCACCUCCGCCUCCCAAGGUGCUGGGAUUACAGGCGUGAGCCACCACACCCAGCCCAUUUCUUCCACAUUCUAUUGCGGUUUCCUGGGCAAGAAUCCUGAGAGAAGACAGCCAGGCUCACACCACCUUUUAUGACCUAAUCUUGGAAGUCCCAUAACAUAAUUUCUCCCACAUUGUAUUGGUCAGGCAGUUGCAAAGUUCAGGGAUCAGAAAUAUUGCAUUGUGCAUUUUUGGAAAAUACAACAUCUUCAGACACACAGAGUGGUGGUGAGCCAUCCAUCCAUUCUCCUCCAACCUAACAAUUUUAGGAAAGGACCUUUGAGUGUGCACGUGUGUGUGUGCAUGUGUGUUUCUGUGUGACCAUAAUCCUGUUUUGAGUUAAUUGUAGUUUUCAGUUGCUGCUAUUUUUUAAAUUCUAAAUCAUAAUUUUAUACAUUACCCACAUUAGUAUGGGUCCAUAGUUAUCAGUUUAGUUUGCUGAAGGUUAACUCUGAAGCCCAUGCUGGUUAGUCAUGCAUAUUUAUAUUAAUAGUAUUUGGCAUAUAAAUUUAUAAUAAUUGGAAAUUAAGAUGUGUCUACAAGGUAUUUUGAAUAUAAAGAGUAUUUUGAAUAUAAAGCAUCAGUGUAGGGAGCACCCCUCCCUACCCUGGGCUUGGGUUAUAGGUAAGACGCUUGCUUUAUCAAUCAGUGCUAUGGAACAGGGAAUCAUAAGAAGAGCAUGGAGAAAACCAAUGAUUCUCCACUUAACCCAACAAAAAUAAACCUUUUAAAAACACAUCUACAUGACAGCAUAUACUAUUGCUGGAUUUGGUGAAUGGCAUGUGUGAUUUUUUUCUUUAUUUUUUUUUUCUCAGGCUGGAGUGCAAUGGCAAAAUCUCGGCUCACUGCAACCUCUGCCUCCCAGGUUCAAGCGAUUCUCCUGCCUCAGCCUCCCUACUAGGGGUGCUCACUACCACACCCACCUAAUUUCUGUAUUUUUACUAGAGAUGGAGUUUCACCAUGUUGGCCAGGCUGGUCUCGAACUCCUGACCUCAGAUGAUCCACCCACCUCAGCCUCCCAAACGGUUGGGAUUACAGGCGUGAACCAACACGGCCGGCCAGCAUGUGUGAUUUGACUUUCCUUUGCAAUAGUAAGAAUGGGCUUCACUGAUCCAUCCUCUUGUCCAUUUAUUCACCCAAGGUUCCGUGCUCCACGGGAGACCUCCCAAUGGUUAUAUGGCUCCUCACCAAGCUUGCCUCCAGGGAGAGAAUGUGAUGCAGGAAGUCUCUUAAGUGUCCAAUUUCUCAGCAGUUGUCGUUCCCACGGUGAACUUUAAAACUGGCAUUCUGGUUUUACACUUCAGACUCUGCUGCCUGAGUGAAUCUCUUUCUAAGAGAUGGAUCUGCAAUUGAUGUGCAAAUAAAUUGCAUUUCUGGACCUGAAAGACUGAAAGCUAGAUUUUGAAUGGUUUAGAAUGCAUCCUGAAGCUACCUGGAUUUCUCUUAAUGAAACUCAAACCUUGAAGCUCACCUGUCCAAGCAGUGAAGCUUACACUGUCAUUCAUUAAUCUCCAUAUCCCUGUCUUUAAAUGGGAAAAUAUAUGCUAACUUCAAAAUUGGUAACAUACUAAGGAAUAUUUAGGGCACAAACCCAUGUGCAACUUGGAAACUACUGAUAAAGAAAUGGACGAGAUUCCAGGUCAAGAUGGCAGACUGCAUGAAUGCAUGAAGCCCUCCUCCCUUUCAAACCACAUAGGAAUACUGCAUAAUGUACAUGGUUUUUACAAAAUUCGAAAUGCAUAGCUAAGCCCAAAAGCAAGAAUGAGAACCUGCAGGUACCAGAAACAUUGCAAUGAGUAGAAGUUGAAACUGUUUAGCCAUGGAAGUAACUAAACCAGAUAUAUACCUGUGUGGGUAGAGGUUUUAAAGCCUCCAUGGGGGAUGGAGUUGAAGCCAAGGCUCCACAUUUGGCACAGGAGCAGAAACUGAACCCCUUAGCAGAAGCCAGGCACCAGUAAAUGUCUUUUCUGUCCUUGAAAUGGAAUUAGAAGAACUUUAUCACUGACUCAAACCCAUAGCCUUUAAGAAAUAGAACCCCUCAACCUCUCAAUUGGCCCUGCCUGAGACUAUGAGAUCAGAAUUCUUAACCUGACUGCCUACAAGGUGCAAAAACAAUGAGCCUAGAUAUAAAUGUAAAACUUUGGCCCUGAGAUUUUCUCUGUAGCCCCAAUAGAGGCAAUUAUGAAAAUUCUCAUGGAAGAGUCUCUGAAAGCCAGAAUAUGUGCCACAGGUGUAAAAAAUGGUUCAUGCUGAAGAUACAGUCCAGACAGCAUUUGAAAACAUCAAAUGCUAUAGGACAUCAUCAGCAAACAAUAAAUGGCCAUACCCAAGAAACCAUAAAUAAUAAAUCAAUAUGAGUGGAACUUUAAAAUAAGUUUACUUGAAAUAUACAUAUAUGGAGAAAGAAAUAAAGUCUAUCAGGCAUGAAAAAGAUAUAAUGAAAACAAAAAAGGUAGAUUCGAAAAAAGAACUACUGGAAAUUAUAGAAGUAAAAAAAAAAAUACAGUGAUUUGAGAAAAAUAUACAAUGGAGAAUUUAAACAGACAACUAGAGCUAGCCAAAGAGAGAAUUGGUGAACUGAAGUACACAGCUGGGCAAUCUCCCAAAAUAAGGCACAUAUAUAUAUACAUAUAUACACACAUACAAGCUGUUUUGACCUUAGCUAUGCAAUUUGAAUUUUGUAAAAACCAUAUACAUUACACAGCAUAUAUGCAUACACACACAAAUAGAAAAUAAAAAUGGAAAAAAAGAACUAUGAGCUCCAAGAUGCAUAAAAGGAGAAUUCUAAAAGGAGUGGGGAGAGAGAAUAAGUGUAGCAAUUGGAAGGUGUUAGGCUACAAGUAAUAGAAAUUCCAACCAACAGUGACUUACAGAAGAGGAUUAUUUCUGACCCACAGCAAGAAUUCUUGGGGAACAGGCUGUACAGAGCUAGAGCAGCAGCUCACCCCAAGCCAAAAAUAAACAAACAAAUAAAUAAGCAAAUAAAUUCUAGGUGGAUUAAAGAUAUAAACAUGAGAGAUAAACCUGAAAGUCAUUACAAGAAAAUAUUGGAAAAUAAUUCUAUGACCUACAGUAGAGAUUUCUAUAUAUUUUUUAAACAGAAAAAAAACAUAGCUUAAAUAGAUCAAAAAUUAAUUUUUUUGAAUCCUACUUCAGGCAAAAUUAAAAGCAACAGAUUUGGGGUAAAUGUUCACAGUCCACGUAACCUACAAAAAUUAGUAUCCAGAGUUUCUGUAGAUUAUAAAGGUAAAGAUAAACAAAGCAAAUACAAAUAGGAACAAAAGAUAGGAAAAUGCAAUCCAGAAAGGAGGGAUGACCCUGAGUGGGUAAUAAACAAAUGAAGCAGUAUUCAUCCUCGUGUCACUGGUGGUCAGGGAAGCGCAAAUUAAAACUGAGAUAAAAUCGCACAAUAUCAAAUGUUGAUGAGAAUGUGAUGAAACGUGAAGUGGAAACUUUAAGCCUCGCUAGAGCAGAGGGGCUGUAAUAUAAUACAUCCCCUUGGGAGAGCAAUCUGGCAAAGUCUGCUAAAACUGAAACUUUAAUAAUUACUUGUAUGCUUAUGCUAAAGAGAUUUUCUCAUGAGCACUCAAAGGUUAUAUAUUUAUAAGAAAUUUUUAGCAGCCUUGUUAAUAGUAGCAAUAAAUUAGAAAGAAUAAUUUUUAUCAAAAAUAAAAAUUGAAAUAAAUUUCAGUAUAUCCAAACAUAAAAUUGUUAAUUGUUAAAUUAAUUAAAUUGAGGUGCAUCAAGUGGAUAGCUACCAUAAACCAAACCAAGAAUGAAAAAGAGUUGCAGGGCCGAGCACAGUCACUCAUGCCUGUAAAUCCCAGCACUUUGGGAGGCCGAGGUGGCAGGAUCACUUGAGCCCAGGAGUUUGAGACCAGCCUGGUCAACAUGGAGAAGCCUCAUCUCUACUAAAAAUAUAAAAAUUAGCCGGGCGUGGUGGCACAUGCCUGUAAUCCCAGCACUUUGGAACUUUGGAAGGUUGAGGCAGGCAGAUCACUUGAGGUCAGGAGUUUGAGACCAGCCUGGCCAACAUGGUGAAUCCUGUCUCUACUAAAAAUACAAAAAUUAUACAGGCAUUGUGGCACAUGCCUGUAAUUCCAGUUACUCGGGAGGCUGAAUCAGUGGAAUAGCUUGAACCUAGGAGGCGGAGGUUGCAAUGAGUCGAGAUUGUACCACUACACUCCAGCCUGGGCAACAGAGUAAGACUCCCAAAAACAAACAAGCAAAUAUAUAUAUAUAUAUAUA
rnacentral:lncRNA from 10 species